AGAUUAGGUGAUGUCUGGAGGGGGAGGAGGGCUGAAGUGGCAGGUGGGCUAAAGAUCGACAGACAUGGAGAGAUUUAUGAAAGUCUCAAUCCACACUGAGGUUCAGUCAACAACAUGAAGAGUAUUGGUACCAGUUGACUUGAAAAUGCCUUUUUGGCUGUCUGUCCUUCUAAAAAUGUUUUAUUUUAAAUACAAGCUUUUUCAGAGGCAGUAGGAUAGUUUGCCAUGCUUCGCCUUGGUAUAAAGAAAGGUUCUGCUGCUCGAUGUUGGCCGUGUGCACCGCAGUACAUGCCUCCCCUAAUGCCAAGAUGUACAAGUGAGAUGGAUCUUUGGAACGGACAGGGUGACUAUGACACAGCUAUGAGUAGCAUACAGUAUACACGCUCACAGUACAUCUAUAAACUGUACCAGGCGUCUUGCCACUCUCUUUCUCUGCUCUUUCCCCCUUUCGCUCUCUCUCUCCAUCUACUAGUCCUCUGCGCUCGCUCUCACCCCUUCUCUUGCUCUCUCUCUCACCCCUUCUCUUGCUCUCUCUCUCACCCCUUCUCUUGCUCUCUCUCUCACCCCUUCUCUUGCUCUCUCUCUCACCCCUUCUCUUGCUCUCUCUCACCCCUUCUCUUGCUCUCUCUCUCACCCCUUCUCUUGCUCUCUCUCACCCCUUCUCUUGCUCUCUCUCUCUCACCCCUUCUCUUGCUCUCUCUCCCUCACCCCUUCUCUUGCCCUCUCUCACCCCUUCUCUUGCCCUCUCUCUCACCCCUUCUCUUGCCCUCUCUCUCACCCCUUCUCUUGCCCUCUCUCUCUCCCCUUCUCUUGCCCUCUCUCUCACCCCUUCUCUUGCCCUCUCUCUCACCCCUUCUCUUGCUCUCUCACCCCUUCUCUUGCUCUCUCACCCCUUCUCUUGCUCUCUCUCUCUAACCCCUUCUCUUGCCCUCUCUCACCCCUUCUCUUGCUCUCUCUACCUCACACCUUCUCUUGCUCUCUCUACAUUUCUCUCUCUUUCUCUGCCAUUUCAACUUUGCAGAUUUUAUAAAAUUUUGCUUACUGCUUUUGUAAUUUUUUUCUGACAUUUAAAACAUUUUAAAGAAUGUUCUCAUUCUUGUGACAGUUUUAUAUGAUAGAUUUCUCCUAAAAAAAAUGAUAUAUAUAUAUAUGCUACCAAGUCCUAAAUGUUCAACAUAGGCCUAGAUGAUUCAUAAAACAUUUUCUAUUGUAUAUCAGUGUGGAAAAUUAGCUACAUUUUAUAUAACUACUUAUGAACCACAUUUGAAUGCUGUUUUAGAGUUCAUGCACCAACACUAUUCAAUUGACAUUUGACUUUAAUGUUUGGUUUUCCUAUUCUCUGUGCAAUAGAAGUUAUUUGCUCCACUUUAGUAUUGGUUUGAAAUGUAUGAAGGAUAUUUAUCUUGAUCUCUGCUUUAUUUAAGUAUAAUGAAAUUGUUGACAGAUUGACGUGUUGUAUGGGGUAGUUGGCUGAUUCUCGUAGAUUUAGAGUUUUUCCCCAUUUCAACCUGUGCAUGAACAGUAAUAUUAUUUAUGCGUUCUGUCGGUACGAUGGUAACAUAUAGGACUUGAGUCAAUUUUUUUUGCCUACUGGCCUUACCUGUCGACCACAAUGAGAUACCACAAUGAGAUGGAAGGAAAGAAGCAUGCCUGAACUAGCAGGUCGCUAGUGUGUACUUGAUGAAGUAUUGAUUUUUUUUACCUGCCUUGCUUUGUAUUCGAGUGCUUUUCCUCCCUAUUCCCUUACUGCUUCAAGUGCUCUUGCCAUUUUGAGGGGCAUAUGAAGUCACGCCAAUGUAAAUUUUGUAGAAAUAAAAGACUCUUGUUUGACGCUUUCUCUCUGUGGGGUUUUUGGUUUAAAAAAAAAUGGACCAGUUACAUUGCAUCCAUCUUGGAACAUAAUGUACUUCCUGUGAUGAUCACUUAUCAGGUUACACUGGCUCCAGGUUAUCUACAUUUACAUUACAUUUAAGUCAUUUAGCAGACGCUCUUAUCCAGAGCGACUUACAAAUUGGUGCUUUCACCUUAUGACAUCCAGUGGAACAGCCACUUUACAAUAGUGCAUCUAGGUCUUUUAAGGGGGGGAGGGGGAGAAGGAUUACUUUAUCCUAUCCUAGGUAUUCCUUAAAGAGGUGGGGUUUCAGGUCUUUGCUACAAGUCUUUGCUUUAUCUCAGCUCGCUGGUCACCAUAGCAGCACCCAUCCGUAGCAUGUGCUCCAGCAGGUACAUUUCAUUGGUCACCCCCAAAGCCAAUUCCUCUUUGGCCGCCUUUCCUUCCAGUUCUCUGCUGCCAAUGACUGCAACAAACUGCAAAAAUCACUGAAGCUGGAGACUCAUGUCUCCCUCACUAACUUUAAGCACCAGCUGUCAGAGCAGCUCACAGAUCACUGCACCUGUACAUAGCCUAUCUGUCAAUAGCCCAUCCAACUACCUACCUAUCCACAUACUGUUAUUUAUUUAUUUUGCUCCUUUGCACCCCAGUAUCUCUACUUGCACAUUCAUCUUCUGCACAUCUAUCACUCCCAGUGUUUAAUUGCUAUAUUGUAAUUACUCUGCCACUAUGACCUAGUUUUUGCCUUAACUCCCUUAUCUUACCUCAUUUACACACACUGUAUAUAUACUUUUUAUUUUUCUAUUGUAUUAUUGAUUGUAUGUUUGUUUAUUCCAUGUCUAACUCUGUGUUGUUGUUUGUGUCGCACUGCUUUGCUUUAUCUUGGCCAGGUCGCAGUUGUAAAUGAGAACUUGUUCACAACUAGCAUACCUGGUUAAAUAAAGGUGAAAUAAAUAAAGGUUAAAUAAAUCAAAUAAAAUAAAUAGUUUUUAGCAGUACAGGCUAAUAAGCUCUAUGGGUCAGUACUGGAUCCCAAUGUGUUUAUGAUUGGUAUCGUUAGGUAGGAAUUCAGCAUUAUCAUUAAAAACAUAUUUCAUUGUUGACUUCCAUUCAAAUGGAAGUCAUCUCUUUGGUAAAAAAAUACAUUUUAAAAAAGCAUAAGAAAUGGUCAGGGACAAACCCUUCACUGUACAUACCGUUUGAGCUAGACAUGAUGAUGACAGUUUUUAAAGUUGCUCGCCAUAAAAUAAAUAUUCGUGGGAUUUGUAGUCCUUGUAGUACAGAUCGUUCUGUCUGACCUAUGGGAGCCUCUGUAGCUCAGAACUACAGGUGAAUAAUUGGCUGAUUAUCCGGCGUACACGCCAGACAGGAAAACAGCCCUAUAAAUAGUCUGCUCUUCCCUUGUUCGCUCUUUCACUGAGUUAAGAUGUCUGUCGAAGCAUUAUGGCUAUCAUUAUAAAACUAGGUCAUAUUUGGCAUCCGGACAGAAAAUAUAAUACAUCCGUCAUAAAAUGAUAAACUACCGUUGGGGAUCUGUAAUGAGGGUGAUUUUCGGUCUACAAAGGCGGCUGUAGGAAGUCCGAUAUGAAGCUCACGUCAUCAGGUUCCAUAGAUGGGAAGGGCUUCCCACAUACUCCCAACAUGUCAAGGGGAGAUUACUGCCCACAGCUGGUGUUAUCCAAUAUAUGUGCUAUGUAUCAAACAAAGCAUUGUAUGUGGGCCAAAUCGUGAGCUAAAUCUUGUAGUGAAUCUGGAGAUUGGCCAAGUUCAAGAGACUAGACUGUUUGGCUUAACCCUGGAUUGUAAACUGAAAUGGUACAUUUAAUGAUUUAACAGUAGCUGGGGGGGGUCCUGUCUAUAACACUGUUCUGGUUUCUUGAUAAUCAAUUCGUUUAGGCCCUAGUUUUAGCACACCUGGGCUACAGUCCAAACACUUAAGAUGCACCCUUCAGCCCUCAUUAAGUGGACACUUCUGAUAACCUGUAAUGAUAUCAAUGUUGCAAUUUAGCGAGUUGUGACAAUUUCUUGGUGUCCCUAGAUUGUUAAACUGAGAUGGUGUAACGGUAGCUAAGAUGGGGGGGGCUGUCUGCGAUAAAGCGCUGCUUUCCGAUCCACAAAACAAUUACUACGGGCUAGUUUUAUCACACCUGAAUUACUGCCCAGUUAUAUCCUAAAGUGCCACAAAGGACAGGCAAAUUAGUUGGCCCAGAAUGGGGAAGUACCGCCGGCCCUUAAAGGGAUACUUCAUUCUCUUUUUUUUGAGGCCUUUUAUUUACUUCUCCAGUCUGAUGUCAUGGAUAUCAGUUUGGUCUGCAUCCAUUUUAAAGGAAGUAGCCAGCUAUUGCUUAUAGCGUUAGCAGAUACCACAGACGUCUUAAUUUCGCUAAUGCUGACUUACAAUUGUGCCAGUUAGCUACUUAAUUUCAAACUAGAUGCAGAGACUUAAAUGGUAUUGAGGUCAUCGGACUCUGGAAGUAGACAAUAGAGCCCAGUUGACAAAAGCCUAAAGUUACAAUGUACUCGUCACCCCUCCCUCUGCUUGCCCUACCUAUAAACUCCCGAGUGGCGCACCUGUCUUAAGGUGCUGGAGACCUCACUACAGAAACCCUUGUUUGAAUCUAGGCUGUGUCACAACCGGCCAUGAUCGGAAAUCCCUUAGGGCGUCGUCCAGGUUUGGCCUGUGUAGGCCGUCAUUGUAAAUAAGAAUUUGCUCUUUAACGGACUUGCCUACUUCAUUUUAAAAAAUUUAAAAAACGUAUUUAAGUGUACCCUACAACUGGUGUCGGCAACAGUAUGGUUGAUCUCCGGUGUGGAGACUGGUGUUUAGUUGUAAUAUUUUUAUGAUGUCAAUAAAGUUUUAUAACAUGUGUUCUAGAACUUUGUGUGAAUGACAUUGAUACUGGAUUAGUUUCUAGUUGGUUCAUAGUUCUAAUGCAACUCCGCCUGUAUGAUCCAUCCAUGCUGUCUCUGUAAUAGUGGCCAUUCGCAGUACUGAUUUAUCAAUGGGGAUAUGUAAAGUAACACAAUCGUAUGUUCGCCAGCCGGCUCUAGCGAUUUGCCUGGGAAAGUUACAUGAACACUUGUCAGUGGUUAAAAUAGACUUGACACAAUGGAUGUUCUAAGAAUCAAUUCUAAUGCCAUUCCAAUCGAAGACUACGUUCUAAAUGAGUCUAAUCCUUUAGUCUUGGCUUCAAACAGAAUAGCGCUGGAAAUAACUGGUGCAUUGUAGGAAUUAUUUUCUUACAGAGAAAUGUAUUGACGCCUUUUAUGUAUGGCUGUUCAUAACAUUGCGACUUGUAAUAUGGCACUUUAGUAUUUAACUUAGUUGAUUACCAUUAUGGUGUAGCGCUUUGGUCAAAGCGAAAUGAUUUGUGGUUUUACUUAAUUUGCUGUACUGGUCAACGAUUUUAUAACGGUGACCUUGAUCUAGUCAUACAUUGUGGCCCGAGCCUAUGGAGAUUACAGUGUAGCUAGAUCUGUCAUGCUAAUGUUUACUAGCUGGCCUGGUGUAACUACUUAGCCAAGUAGCCUAGGACAAGAGGUUGAAAGUGUGUACUGUUUGACAGAGCGACAAGACUUUAGGGAAAGGCAACAUGAAAGAGGAUAUCAUUGGCAUUUCACAGCAAGUAGGGUGAGUUAAUAUUCAUUCUACUUGCACUCACAAACCUAAAAGCUUAAAAAUCUAAUUAUAAAAUUCACUGAAUACAUUACAUGAAACAAUACUACCAAUCCGCAGCUCGAUACUAGUCAGAAAACGGAUACUAUAUCCUCGUUGGGGUGGGAUCCGUAGCAGUACGUGGGUCACGCCACUCCAGGUGAAAGAAGGCUCUAUUAUGACCUAUGUGUUGUACCCUAUAUUAGUGUUUUAUUUUUUUAAACUAUUGUACAUUGUAGAGUUUUUAUUUUACCUUUAACUAGGCAGGUCAGUAAAGAACAAAUUCUUAUUUUCAGUGACGGCCUAUGAACAGUGGGGCAGAACGACAGAUUUGUACCUUGUCAGCUCGGAGAUUUGAACUUGCAACCUUUUGGUUACUUGUGCUCUAACCACUAGGCUACGCUGUGAAAACAUCAAAACUAUGAAAUAACACACAUGGAAUCAUGUAGUAACCAAAAAAGUGUUAAACAAAUCAAUAUAUAUUUUAUAUUUGAGAUUCUUCAAAGUAGCCACCCUUUGCACACUCUUGGCAUUCUCUCAACCAGCUUCAUGAAGUUGUCACCUGGAAUGCAUUUCAAUUAACAGGUGUGUCUUGUUAAAAGUUCAUUUGUGGAAUUUCUUUACUUAAUGCGUUUGAGCCAAUCAAGUUGUGUUGUGACAACGUAGGGGGGUAUACAGAAAGCCCUAUUUGGUAAAAGACCAAGUCCAUAUUAUGGCAAGAAAAGCUCAAAUAAGUUAAGAGAAACUACAGUCCAUCAUUACUUCAAGACAUGAAGGUCAGUCAAUACGGAAUAUUUCAAGAACUUUGAAAGUUUCUUCAAGUGCAGUUGCAAAAACCAUCAAGUGCUAUGAUGAAACUGGUUCACAUGAGGACCGCCACAGGAAAGGAAGACCCAGAGUUACCUCUGCUGCAGAGGAUAAGUUCAUUAGAGUUAACUGGCUCUCAUGAGGACCGCCACAGGAAAGGAAGACCCAGAGUUACCUCUGCUGCAGAGGAUAAGUUCAUUAGAGUUACCAGCCUCAGAAAUUGCAGCCCAAAUAAAUGCUUCACGGAGUUCAAGUAACAGACAUCUCAACAUCAACUGUUCAGAGGAGACUGCGUGAAUCAGGCCUUCAUGGUUGAAUUGCUGCAAAGAAAACCACUACUAAAGGACACCAAUAAUAAGAAGAGACUUGCUUGGGCCAAGAAACACGAGCAGUGGACAUUGGACCGGUGGAAAUCUGUCCUUUGUUCCAACCGCUGUGAGACGCGGUGUCUAUAAAUGUAGCGAGGCUCCAUACAGUAGAGAGGCUACAUACAGUAGAGAGGCUACAUACAGUAGAGAGGCUACAUACAGUAGAGAGGCUUCAUACAGUAGAGAGGCUACAUACAGUAGAGAGGCUUCAUACAGUAGAGAGGCUACAUACAGUAGAGAGGCUAUAUACAGUAGAGAGGCUACAUACAGUAGAGAGGCUAUAUACAGUAGAGAGGCUACAUACAGUAGAGAGGCUACAUACAGUAGAGGCUUCAUACAGUAGAGAGGCUACAUACAGUAGAGAGGCUACAUACAGUAGAGAGGCUUCAUACAGUAGAGAGGCUACAUACAGACACCGGUUAGUCAGGCUGAUUGAGGGUAGUAUGUACAUGUAGAUAUGGUUAAAGUGACUAUGCAUAUAUAAUGAACAGAGAGUAGCAGUAGUGUAAAAGAGUUACCAGCCUCAGAAAUUGGGUGGGCCACAAUGCAGAUAGUCCGGUUAGCCACUGUGCGGGAGCACUGGUUGGUCGGCCCAAUUGAGGUAGUACGUACAUGAAUGUAUAGUUAAAGCGACUAUGCAUCUGUGAUAAACAGCAGCAGCAUAAAAUAGGGGUUGGGGGGGUCCACACAAUGCAAAUAGUCCAGGUCACCAUUGGUUACCUAUUCAGGAGUCUUAUGGCUUGGGGGUAGAAGCUGUUAAGAAGCCUUGAGAAGGUAGCGACAGUACAUUAAGCUGAUUGAUUGGUGAGCAGGUAGAGACAGUACAUUGUUCACCUUUAUUUAACUAGGCAAGUCAGUUAAGAACAAAUUCUUAUUUUCAAUGACGGCCUAGGAACAGUGGGUUAACUGCCUGUUCAGGGGCAGAACGACAGAUUUGUACCUUGUCAGCUCGGGGGUUUGAACUUGCAACCUUCCGGUUACUAGUCCAACGCUCUAACCACUAGGCUACGCUGCCGCCCCCACAUUAAGCUGAAUGAUUGAUGAGCAAAGUGGAAAAUCAUCACACAGUAUAACCAGGAGUUUUAAAUGCAUUACUAUCGAUGCCCAAUCUCCUUCAGAAUGCAGCAGAUAGCAACAGCAGCAAUUUGCUGAAAUUGUCAUUUUACCAGCAGCUUGAGUGUAAUAAUGGAACAGGGCAGUUCCUUGUCCCCGUCGACAGCUAGACAGGGAUAAAGCAGAACACAUGUUAAUUUGUGAACACUGAAUGGACAAUAAUGUAAUCUUCUUCUCCUAGAUGCUACACAACAAGCAUGUGAUGGUGCGUGUGGGAGGAGGCUGGGAGACCUUUGAGAGUUACCUUCUGAAACACGACCCAUGUCGGAUGCUCCAGAUCUCCAGAGUGCAGGGGAAGACCUCUCCCAUGUCCUCCAAGGACCUCACCUCAAACAGCUACCUGGUGGUGGCCUCACACCACCGCAGCAAGAAGUAAAGAUGGCCUCACACCACCGCAGCAAGAAGUAAAGAUGGCCGCACCCCACCGCAGCAAGAAGUAAAGAUGGCAGCACACCACUUCAGCAAGAAGUAAGUAAAGAUAUCCUCACACCACCGCAGCAAGAAGUAAAGAUAUCCUCACACCACCGCAGCAAGAAGUAAAGAUGGCCGUACCCUACUUCAGCAAGAAGUAAAGAUGGCAGCACCCCACUUCAGCAAGAAGUAAAGAUGGCAGCACCCCACUUCAGCAAGAAGUAAAGAUGGCCGCACACCACUUCAGCAAGAAGUAAAGAUAGCCGCACCCCACUUCAGCAAGAAGUAAAGAUGGCAGCACCCCACUUCAGCAAGAAGUAAAGAUGGCCGCACACCACUUCAGCAAGAAGUAAAGAUGGCCGCACCCCACUUCAGCAAGAAGUAAAGAUGGCCGCACCCCACUUCAGCAAGAAGUAAAGAUGGCCGCACACCACUUCAGCAAGAAGUAAAGAUGGCCGCACACCACUUCAGCAAGAAGUAAAGAUGGCCGCACCCCACUUCAGCAAGAAGUAAAGAUGGCCGCACCCCACUUCAGCAAGAAGUAAAGAUGGCCGCACCCCACUUCAGCAAGAAGUAAAGAUGGCCGCACCCCACUUCAGCAAGAAGUAAAGAUGGCCGCACACCACUUCAGCAAGAAGUAAAGAUGGCCGCACCCCACUUCAGCAAGAAGUAAAGAUGGCCGCACACCACCGCAGCAAGAAGUAAAGAUGGCUUUCUACCAGCACGAAGCAUUACAAACCAUCCUACUGCCUCUGUUUUUUGGAGACGUCAGCUAGCAGAGGCAGCUGAGAAGAGACAGAAAGAGGUAUGACUGGUUUUGACAAGUGUUCACGACACCCAUAUAGCCUAGGCCUACACUGUUACACUAAGGGCUGGUUUCCCGGACACAGAUUAAGCCUAGUCCUGGAGAAUCUCCAUUGAAGGUGCUUUUCAGUCCAGGACUAGGCUUCAUUUGUGUUUGGGAAACCAGCCCGAUAUAACCUACACAUGGUGGUCCUUUGUGACUUAGUUGGAUUAGCGUGUGGUGAGGUUGUGGGUUCAUUACCCACCGGGACCCUGUACACAUUCCUUUGUAUGCACUCACUGUACCAUAAAAAGUCACUUAGGAUGAAAGUAUCUGCUAAGUAUCACACUGGAUACUACCACUGGCCAGUCAAGUCUCAGCAACCAGCCACUCUCCCUGCCUUCUUAUUAAUGGAGUUUACUGAGACAGAGUGGAGCCUACUGGGAGAAUCAAAUCAAAGUUGAUUUAAGAAUAAUAACUUAUUGUGGUAGAAUGUGUAGACAAUAUGAUAUAUUAUAUACAAUAUGAUAUAUUAUAUACAUUAGGACUGUGCUAUGUCAAGUAUACAUGAACAUAAAUAUAAACGCAACAUGUAAAGUGUUGGUCCCAUGUUUCAUGAGCCGAA